rnacentral:misc_RNA from 1 species
GCUGGCGUGUGUUUUGGCAUUGCUUGGACGGAGUCCGCUCUGUCCAACUUCAAAACUUAUAUCAAUUUAUCUGAAAACUUGAAAAUUUAAAACUUUCAACAACGGAUCUCUUGGUUCUCACAUCG